AAGUAAUUAAUGCUUUAGAAGAAUACCUAAGGACUCAAAAAUGAUGAAGGGCGUAUAAACCUGCGAAAUUUUCUAGUUAGCUGGAAAAAAGCAUUAUAAUCUAGAAGUUCCCGAAUAGAGCAAUCUUUAAAACUGCUGAAUUAAUUCAUAAAUCAGUAAGAAAACACUUAGUGAAUUGAAACAUCUUAGUAACUAAAGGAAAAAAAAGCAAACGCGAUUUCCUUAGUAGCGGCGAGCGAAACGGAAUUUGUCUAAACUGAAUUUAUUCAGGGUUAUGGGAUUCAAAAAAACUAAAAUAAAAAAAAACUAAACAGCUGAAACCUGUACCAUAGAUGGUAAAAGUCCAGUAGUUAAAAAAAAUAAAUGAAUUUCCCCAAGUAGCUUGGGACACGAGAAAUCCCUUGUGAAUUAACGAGGACCACCUCGUAAGACUAAAUAUUAAUGAGUCACUGAUAGUGAAAAGUACCGUGAGGGAAAGGUGAAAAAGAACCCCCAAAGGGGAGUGAAAAAGAAUAUGAAAUCUAAAGCAACCAAUCUGUGGGAGGCAUAACAGCUGACCGCAUGCCUGUUGAAGAAUGAGCCAGCGACUUAUAAUUUUUGGCUUGGUUAAUAACUUUUUAGGAACCAUAGUGAAAACAAGUCUGAAAAUGGCAUUAGUCAAAAUUUAUAGACCCGAACCUGGGUGAUCUAACCAUGACCAGGAAGAAGCUUAGGUAAAACUCAGUGGAUGUCCGAACCGACCGAUAUUUAAAAAUCGACGGAUGAGUUGUGGUUAGGGGUGAAAUGCCAAUCGAACCCAGAGCUAGCUGGUUCUCCUCGAAAUGCGUUGUGGCGCAGCAUUUAUCGAUGAUCUAUUAAGAGGUAGAGCACUGUUUCAAUGCGGGCUAGUCAAAUAGUACCAAAUUGUCGCAAACUCCAAAUACUUAAUAUGAAAAAAAGACCGAUAAAAAGUUAGACUUUAGGGGAUAAGCUUUAAAGUCAAAAGGGAAAUAGCCCAGAUCAUCAGCUAAGGCCCCUAAAUAGUUGCUAAGUGUUAAAGGAGGUUUCUAUGCAGAAACAGCCAGAAGGUUCGCUUAGAAGCAGCUAUCCUUAAAAGAGUGCGUAAUAGCUCACUGGUUAACAAAGCGUAGAUGCACCUAAAAUGUCCGGGACUAAGCAACUUGCCGAAGCUAUGAGAGAUUAUUUUAUUAAUCUCGGUAGAGGAGCGUUCUGUUUUUUAAGGUGAAGGCUUAUUGAAAAAAAGACUGGAUUAAACAGAAGUGAGAAUGUUGGCUUGAGUAACGAAAACAUUGGUGAGAAUCCAAUGCCCCGAAAACCUAAGGUUUCCUUCACAAGGAUCGUCCAUGAAGGGUUAGUCAGGACCUAAGGCAAGACUGAAAAGUGUAGUCGAUGGAAAACAGGUAAAUAUUCCUGUACUUAUUUAGAUUUGAUGACAAAGGACGGAGAAGGCAAAAAAUUAAGAUUACUUUAUGGUAGUAAUGGAAAUGAUCAACAUAAAAUAAAAGAAAAAAAGCUUUUAUUAAAUUAAUAUUAUGAAGACAUGAUACUUGCUUUUUUAUUUUUUUUUUUUUUAGUAAAGAAAUAAAAAAUGCAGCUAAUUUUUUUGUCAUACUCCCGAGAAAAGUUUGAGACAUUUUAUAAUCUAAAUAACUUGUACCAUAAACCAACACAGGUGGGUAAGUUGAGUAUACUCAGGGGCGCGAGAUAACUCUCUCUAAGGAACUCGGCAAAAUAGCCCCGUAACUUCGGGAGAAGGGGUACCUCUUAUAGAGGUCGCAGUGAAAUGACUUUUUGAACUGUUUACCAAAAACACAGGUCUCCGCAAAAUCGUAAGAUAACGUAUGGGGGCUGACGCCUGCCCAGUGCCGGAAGGUUAAAGAAAUUAGUUAAAGCUAAUAACUGAAGCCCCGGUGAACGGCGGCCGUAACUCUGACGGUCCUAAGGUAGCGAAAUUCCUUGUCACGUAAGUUGUGACCCGCACGAAAGGCGUAAUCAAAAAAGUACUGUCUCGGAGAGAGACUCGGUGAAAUAGACAUGUUCGUGAAGAUGCGAACUACUAAUAUCUGGACAGAAAGACCCCGUGAAGCUUGACUGUAUCUUGUUAUUGAUUUCCAGUAAUUUUUGCGCAGUCUAGGUGGGAGGCUAUGAUUUUAAAUUUUUGGAUUUAAAAGAGCCAUUUUUGAGAGACCACCCUAAAAUUACUAGAAUUCUAAAAAUGUUUCCUUGAAGCAGGACAUUUGACAUUGACAGGUGGGCAGUUUUUUUGGGGCGAAAUUCUCCUAAAAAGUAACGGAGAUUUGCAAAAGUUUCCUCAAAUUGGACGGAAAUCAAUUGUUGAGUGUAAAGGCAAAAGGGAGCUUGACUGCAAGACUUAUAAGUCGAACAGGGGCGAAAGCCGGCCUUAAUGAUCCGACGGUUAACCGAGUGGAAGGGCCGUCGCACAAAAAAUAAAAGUUACUCCGGGGAUAACAGGCUUAUCUUCCCCAAGAGUUCACAUCGACGGGAAGGUUUGGCACCUCGAUGUCGUCUUUUCGCAACCUGGGGCGGUAGUACGUCCCAAGGGUUGGGCUGUUCGCCCAUUAAAGCGGAACACGAGAUGGGUUCAGAACGUCGUGAGACAGUUUGGUCCAUAUCCGAUAUUAGCGGUAGAAUAUUGAGAGGACUUUUCCAUAAUACGAGAGGACUUGGAAGGACAUACCACUGGUGUACCAGUUCUUAUACCAAUAGGAUAUGCUGGGUAGCUAUGUAUGGAGUAGAGUACUGCUGAAAGCAUAUAAGCAAGAAACUCACCUCAAGAUGAAUAUUCUCCAAAAGAUUCCGGUAAGAUAAACCGGUUGAUAGGUUUUAAGUAUAAAAUUUGUAAAAAUUUAAGCUAAAAAGCACUAAUUAUCGAAUGUUUUUGAUUUA
rnacentral:rRNA from 1 species